UACGAAGGGUGCAAGCGUUACUCGGAAUUACUGGGCGUAAAGCGUGCGUAGGUGGUUGUUUAAGUCUGUUGUGAAAGCCCUGGGCUCAACCUGGGAAUUGCAGUGGAUACUGGGCGACUAGAGUGUGGUAGAGGGUAGUGGAAUUCCCGGUGUAGCAGUGAAAUGCGUAGAGAUCGGGAGGAACAUCCAUGGCGAAGGCAGCUACCUGGACCAACACUGACACUGAGGCACGAAAGCGUGGGGACCAAACAGG
rnacentral:rRNA from 1 species